AGCGAACGCUGGCGGCAGGCCUAACACAUGCAAGUUGAACGAACUCUUCGGAGUUAGUGGCGGACGGGUGAGUAACACGUGGGAACGUGCCUUUAGGCUCGGAAUAACUCAGGGAAACUUGAGCUAAUACCGGAUGUGUCCUUCGGGGGAAAGAUUUAUCGCCUUUAGAGCGGCCCGCGUCUGAUUAGCUAGGUGGUGAGGUAAAGGCUCACCAAGGCGACGAUCAGUAGCUGGUCUGAGAGGAUGAUCAGCCACAUUGGGACUGAGACACGGCCCAAACUCCUACGGGAGGCAGCAGUGGGGAAUCUUGCGCAAUGGGCGAAAGCCUGACGCAGCCAUGCCGCGUGAAUGAUGAAGGUCUUAGGAUUGUAAAAUUCUUUCACCGGGGACGAUAAUGACGGUACCCGGAGAAGAAGCCCCGGCUAACUUCGUG
rnacentral:rRNA from 1 species